rnacentral:rRNA from 1 species
GACGAACGCUGGCGGCGUGCCUAAUACAUGCAAGUAGAACGCUGAAGGAGGAGCUUGCUUCUCUGGAUGAGUUGCGAACGGGUGAGUAACGCGUAGGUAACCUGCCUGGUAGCGGGGGAUAACUAUUGGAAACGAUAGCUAAUACCGCAUAAGAGUAGAUGUUGCAUGACAUUUGCUUAAAAGGUGCAAUUGCAUCACUACCAGAUGGACCUGCGUUGUAUUAGCUAGUUGGUGGGGUAACGGCUCACCAAGGCGACGAUACAUAGCCGACCUGAGAGGGUGAUCGGCCACACUGGGACUGAGACACGGCCCAGACUCCUACGGGAGGCGGCAGUAGGGAAUCUUCGGCAAUGGACGGAAGUCUGACCGAGCAACGCCGCGUGAGUGAAGAAGGGUUUCGGAUCGUAAAGCUCUGUUGUAAGAGAAGAACGAGUGUGAGAGUGGAAAGUUCACACUGUGACGGUAUCUUACCAGAAAGGGACGGCUAACUACGUG